UGUGUUGCUUACCUACGGAAAGGAAUUCGGUAGUGACGUCGUCUCUUUCCGCCCGAUGCCCUCUUUGGGUGUGGGGUGGACACCAAGCACGCUACGUGUUCCUUGCAUGCCUUGCAUUGAUGCGGGGCUGUCGAGGCCCAUGGAGCUGUUGCUCGUUCUCUCGGAUGUAGAAUGCCAUGCAUGGGUGCGGGGGCCUCAGCCUCUGCUUUCCCAAGCUAUAUGCAUUUGUCCCUUGACACGAACGACUGCCACGACCGUCUUGAUCUCGUUGUAGCCUAUGUGCUUGACGGGACUCAUGCGGCUGUUGGCGUCGUCGAGGAAUGCUACCUGGUUGAUCCUGCCAGUAGUCAU
rnacentral:misc_RNA from 1 species